UCAAGCCAAGUUAAAAAGCAACAAACUGGCAAAUCCUCCCUUUAAAAAAAUGCUGGUAUGUGUUAGAAAAACACUGGGGCCAAAUUUGAAUAGUAGGGUGUCUGACAUCUGGUGGGUGGGGCUUUUGUGUUGUUCUCCGGAAUCGGCCCCUCCCUUCAUGUGUUCGGUUAGGUUCAGUUAAAGAGACCAACUGUCAUUCUCGCCUCAUGAUGUUGUUUUCGUUUCUUCAGUUUACAAUUUUCUUUAUUAUUGAAGCUUUGUUUGACAUAUACGUGAGUCGCUUACUUUGCUGAAAGGAAAGAUAUUCUGCUGAAGAAUGGUGGAAUAUCCUCAACUUGGCACACAAACUUGGCUUCGCAAGUCUCAUCUUUCCGUUGUGAGAGCUCUUUCUGGUGCUGAAUCAUCAGGUAACUUAUCUCACUGAAAUGGAAAAACACAAGCCCCCUUUGACACUUUUGCCAGAGUGGAACCUCUUGCCUAAGAAAAUCAAGACUAACUCUUCAACAGGAAGGUCCAGAAACACCAGCAACAACCAGAGAAAGAACAGCAGUCUGCGCAGACCAUGGCUGUGCUCCCAGGAGCUACUUUAGGUGGACCCAAAACCAAGCGGAAUGUUUGACAUUCUCCCUCUUUUGAGAAGUGGAUCCCCAUAUCAUAGCAGAAACUGCUUAUGAAAAUCUCCAGUAAAGGAGUGGUGUGCAGCAUGCAGUGAUGCUGUUUGAGAAAGAACUUGUCACAAUAAAGAACGUGUGGAAGUUGUAGCAAAGUAGAACUUUGUGUGCAGGCAUAUAUAUAAGUUCCAUUUUGAACCACAAGGUCAGAGUAUAAGUGAGAAUCAGCUUAGGGACAUAUGUGCUGCAGCAAAUCCAAUGGCAAAGAACCCAGUAUAUUGCAGGAUUCCUCAUAGGGAGAGUCAGACCUCAGAAACAAGAGCCUUAUUGUUGUGAACAGGAGUUUUCAGCUCUGACAAAUAUGAAAGGUCAGAAAAGAGAAAGGCUUCUUUGUGUUGAUGAGGAAAUGAAAGUUUGUUUGUCUCAAAUUAGACCUAAUAUAAAUGUGGUUAUAUACUUAAGGUAUGUAUGUAAGAGGCUUGUUUAGAAUUAUAUUCUGGGAAUGAUUCAAGUUCUUAUAUGGUUGCAUUGUUUUAUACUUU